rnacentral:rRNA from 1 species
UACGGGGGGUGCAAGCGUUAUCCGGAUUCACUGGGUUUAAAGGGUGCGUAGGCGGGCAGGUAAGUCAGUGGUGAAAUCUCCGGGCUUAACCCGGAACUGCCGUUGAUACUAUCUGUCUUGAAUAUCGUGGAGGUAAGCGGAAUAUGUCAUGUAGCGGUGAAAUGCUUAGAUAUGACAUAGAACACCCAUUGCGAAGGCAGCUUACUACACGAUCAUUGACGCUGAGGCACGAAAGCGUGGGGAGCAAACAGG